UGGGAAUAUUGCGCAAUGGGGGCAACCCUGACGCAGCGACGCCGUGUGAGGGAAGAAGGCUUUCGGGUCGUAAACCUCUGUCAGAAAGGAAGAACCUCCCAAGUCCGAAUAGGGCUUGGGACUGACGGUACUUUCAAAGGAAGCACCGGCUAACUCCGUGCCAGCAGCCGCGGUAAUACGGAGGGUGCAAGCGUUAAUCGGAAUCACUGGGCGUAAAGCGCGCGUAGGCCGCUUUGUAAGUCGGACGUGAAAGCCCUCGGCUCAACCGGGGAACUGCGUUCGAUACUGCGAGGCUUGAGUCCUGGAGAGGGUGGCGGAAUUCCGGGUGUAGGAGUGAAAUCCGUAGAUAUCCGGAGGAACACCGGUGGCGAAGGCGGCCACCUGGACAGGUACUGACGCUGAGGCGCGAAAGCGUGGGGAGCAAACAG
rnacentral:rRNA from 1 species